UAAACCAGGAUUAGAUACCCUAUUAUAUUUAAACAAAUUGGGUAGUAUCAUUAAUAAAAACCUUUAUACUUUGGCGGCAUUUUAUCUUAUUAGAGGAAUAUGUUCAUUAAUCGAAACCACACGAUAGUUUUUACUUACUAUAAAAUUUUAUAUACCCCCGUCUAAAGAAUUUAUUUAAAAUUUUUAUUCCAAAUUAUAUUAAAAAAAGUUAGGUAAAGGUGUAGACUAUUAGUAAGAUUAAAUGUAUUACAUUAAAAAAAAAUUUAAGGAUAAAACAGUUAACUGUUUAUUAAAAGAGGAUUUAUAAGUAAUUUACUUUUAAUAAAAAUUAAUGAAUAAGAAAAUAAAUGUGCACAUAUCGCCCGUCACUCUCACAUUAAACCAGGAUUA
rnacentral:rRNA from 1 species